rnacentral:rRNA from 1 species
GACGAAUGCUGGCUGCGUGCUUAACACAUGCAAGUCGAACGGUGAAGGAGGGCUUGCCCUCCGGAUCAGUGGCGAACGGGUGAGUAACACGUGGGCAACCUGCCCCUCACUCUGGGAUAACGCCGGGAAACCGGCGCUAAUACCGGAUACGACCAGGCGCGACAUCUCGCCUGGUGGAAAGAAUUUCGGUGAGGGAUGGGCCCGCGGCCUAUCAGCUAGUUGGUGGGGUAACGGCCCACCAAGGCGACGACGGGUAGCCGGCCUGAGAGGGCGACCGGCCACACUGGGACUGAGACAAGGCCCAGACUCCUACGAGCAGCAGCAGUAGGGAAUAUUGCGCAAUGGGCGAAAGCCUGACGCAGCGACGCAGCGUGAGGGACGAAGGACUUCGGGUUGUAAACCUCUUUCAGCGGGGACGAAGCGAAAGUGACGGUACCCGCAGAAGAAGCACCGGCUAACUACGUGCCAGCAGCCGCAGUAAUAC